UGCAAACAUUCUUGUUCAGCCUAGUUUGUUCUUCGAGGUCUAGAAACAGAAGAGCAAAAGGCUGUUUUCGGUGUUGUUCUCCCACUCUGUGGGGCUUCACGGAGGAGUCUCGGCUCGCUUUGGUGGAAGUGACUCACGCUGCCUAAUUUCUCUUCAUAAAGGCGGUAAGAGACUGCGGGGGCCAGAGGGGAGACUGAACUUGGACCCACUGCUCACUCAGCUGACCUCCCCUCAUCCCAAAAUUGCCAAAACCCAAAGGAGUGAGGACUUGGAACAGCUGGAGACAGACCCAAGUCCUGAUUCUUCUCUCUCAGUGACCUCACAGAACCAUGGAACUGUUGAGCUCCAGGCCACGACCUGAGGGCAGGAAGGCCACCAACCUCUCUGGGAGCUGUGGACUAUAGCUGCUCUCCGAGGCCUGAUUAACUGGUGCACUCCCUUUUGAAACCCACCUGGAACGCCUGGAUCAGGGUCUCUUAAGGACUUCUCUCCAGGAGGAACGGCCUAUGCUCUUUUCCUGUUCCACCGCACUGGCUUUCUAGACUCACAACCGGAUGCUGCGAAGGCCGCAGCCCAAGGAAGCAGGAAUAAAACAAGACGAUAAGUCAGAAGGUGAACACAGGUCUGACCUAAGCAGGUAAGAGAGUAAAUCCACAGCAGGAAGGGCAGAGCUGCGUCUUCCUAGGUGAAAGCAACUUAAGAAAACGUGCAACAAUGCCAGGCGUGGUGGCACAGUGAUGCGGACUCAGGCAGGAGGAUUAUGCUUUAAAACAUCACUUAUCAAAACCCUGCUUCAAAACAAAGGCAAAACAAAACAAGGCAGCUUCUGCCCACUGGAAAGCAUCUCUAGAUGAAACGGGUCAGGGCGCUGGUCCACUCCGUGCUGUUACUUCAGAGGACCGCGGAUGGAUACUUUGUACUUCAGAGCACCGCGGAUGGAUACUUUGUACUUCAGAGGACUGCAGAUGGAUACUUUGUACUGGACAGAAAUUUAUUCCUCACACCUCUGGAAGGUGGAGCCUGAGAUCAAGGAGCCUUUAGGCUAGGUCUGGGCUCCCUUCAGCCGUUGCCUUGCACUGUCCUCCCUAAGAAAGGAGUGCUCCACACUGUGCACUCCACAGCCUCAUGGCCGAGCACACUCUCCCCUCCAGACCUCGUUCACAAGGGCUCUGCCAAACAGCACCCAAAGGCCCCAACCCUGCUGCUCUGGGGACAGACUAUGAAAGGUGAAUUUUGGAGAGAGAGAUCUUCAUACCACAGAAGGGGUCUUUGGCUGGGCCGGAGCAAGAGCAUCUCAUCCAGAAAGGCUCUCCAUCCCUGAAUAGUUUGUAGUGUGGAGUGGGGUGGAAGUGGGGGACUGGAGGUCAAUUUGUGUACAAGCUGAGGACACUCCUGGCAGAAUCAGGACACUUCCUGGAGGACUCCUCCAGCCCGAGGCUCCUAGAUGAGCGCACACAGCUUCUCCCACACUCCCUGCUCCUGUGGCUGUGAGACCUAGAAUCUAUUCUAUUCUAUACAUCAAGGCUGCUUCUGAGAAGACAGAGGUGAUUUGUUUUGAUCUACUAAUGGCUGUGCAAGUAGACACAUAUGCACACGCAGUCUACUCUGUCGUCUGGGUGGACACCAUGCCUCAGUGUGACAGGAAACAAGCCACCUUCAGGCCUUAGUGUGAGUAUGAGGCAGACAGCAGCGCUGGAGGGGGUGUACUUCUGUGAGCUGCUCCUGUUUCCAAGAUUGACAGUACAGACAGACAGGGUACAUCCUGAGUGCAGAAUCAAAAUCAAAAAGCGGAUCACACACUUCCAACAUCACAGGAUAUGUUACCAUUCCAAACAUCAUUGUGAAGAGACCCUGGAUAGAAACAAGAUCAAAAACUGACUGGGAAAACUCCAAUUCUGCAUCUCCGCGUCUGCUGUCCAUCUCCUUUCAGUGUUGUUGGCUGCAACACAGUUCUUCCUCUCGGGCUGGCUCCACCCCCUGUUUGCAGCUUUCCUCAGCAGGUGUCCCACAGCUCUGGCGUCUCUAACAUCUUGGGGUCUCCAAGGCAACUUCAACUUCAUAGCUUCUUGUUUCAAUAUCUGGGAUCCUGUAUAUCCCCUCGAAAGGGCCAGCUUUGCCUUGAGUCUGGUUAUAGGUCCAGAAGAAACUACUGGGGGGGCCCUUGAGGAACAUCCAUAUUGUUUCGCCUGACAUUUUCUUCAGAAAGUCACUGCUGGUUUAUCAGACAAUGAAGGAUUAAUUUCCUUGACUGAAAAGGGCAUUUCACGGGCGAGGGCUAAAAGUACUUUUUCCUCAGGUACUCAAACUUCUUCAAAGUUCUCAGCUUCAACCGGGUCCUCCCACAUACCCCCAUUCCGGGUUUAAGGAUCCCAUUCUUGGCCAAUCAAUGUGCUCGCUUUAACUGCUGACACCCUCCGAGUCUGAGACUCGAAUUUUUGCUGUAAUUCUGCAAAACUUACAACAAGGGCUUCGGUUUGAUUUUCUGCAACUUGAGCUCUAUGGCUGCUGGAGAGAAGGUUCUCUUCAAGGGCACAUCUAGAAACCUUUAGAUUGUUCAUUCUGGAGCCAGGCAAGUUUAUCACGCAGUUCAUUCCUUUCGUUUAUCAACCAACUUCUGUGCAUGGCCCUUCAGUCCUGGGCUGUCAGCUGCAACUGAGGCUGCACCUUCACCAAUGGCCUUCCAUGGCCUCUCACAGUGCCAAGCCUCAGAUGCUUUUCAUGACCCCUUCAUGCCUUCAAAACCAGUACCACCUGGGUGAUCCUUACACAUUACCAAAUACAGCUGCAGCAUGAGGUACAAUCUUGGCUGUCUCCAGAACCCGCUUCUUUGUGCUCUCAGAAAACACUUCCUAGAUUUCACCUCGGGGAUGCUGGUCUUCUUAAUCACUGCUAAUUUCUCAGCUCCAGCUGACCAGUAUUAAUUGUUAUGGUAACUACUUCUAGUAUUGACUCUAAAGCCAGAGCCACAUGGCUGAAGCUGUCAAGUUCUGCUGCUUUCUGGGGCUAGAACAUGACCCCCUUGUUCUCUUACAUCCUUCAUUGCCUAAGCUUAGCUGUCCUGGAACUUGCUCUGUAAAUCGACCUUGAACUCAGAGGUCUGCAGGCCUCUGUCCCCCGAGUUCUGGGAUUAACUCAGAUUAGGCACCACACCCGGACCUAAGCUUUUCUCUACUUGAAACUUGCUCUGUAACAGGCUGGACUUGAACUCAGAGACGUGCUUGCCUCUGCCUCCUGUGUAUGUACCAUCAUACCUGAACCUAAGCUUUUCGUGGUCACUAUACCUCAAGAUUCAGAUCAAAAAGCCUGUGACUUCUAGCCUCAAGAUCUUGGUCACAAGAGUGCCCUCCAUUUCUGGAUUGCAGUUCAUUCCAGACUAAAUUUACAAAUGAAAGCUAUAACCAGGUAAUGAUGCAUAAGAUUAUAUAACUAUCCCUUCUUCAACUUCAAAGACACAAACAAUAAGCCUAGCUGGGUGGGAUCUUGCCCUGACCCCACUCCCUUAAUUCCAUUUAAUAUCCUUGAACACAGGAUUUAAUUCCAUUGCACUUCCUGGUGCCUCUUGAGCCAUACAUGUUGUAUUUUUUUUUCCUUUCUACGUUUGCUAUGCUAGGUCAAAAUGUUCUCCAUGGGAGUAAAUCAGAGGAAAAAGUAUAAGCUUUUUUUUUUUUUGAAACUUCCUUUGUCAAUGCAAUUAGUCUGAAUUUCUCCACUUUAGCCUCAGGUAGACAAGGGCAAAAGGUAGUCACAUGCUUCACCAAAACAUCGUAAGAAGGAUGACCAGGCAGCAUACCGAAAUUAUUCUCCUCUGAAACCUCUCGAGCCCCAACAAUUUAAAUCAUCCUUAUUGCCCAUGCCUUCCAUUUUUCUACUAGGAUGCUCCAUUAUGCCCCAGUUAAAGCAUUCCAUUGAUUUCCAAACCCAAAGUCCCAAAAUCCACAUUCCUCCAAACAAAAACAUAGUCAUGUUUAUCACAGCAAUA